UGAGCGUUCCCGGGGAUAACUGUUCCCCUGGCAUGGUUUAGUACCCGCCUCGGUGUUGGGGCUUCAAGCCCAUCUGGAAAUGGGAGGCUCCUCCCUAGCUUGCAUCUGCGGCCAUAUGACUGAGGGCAGGCAAAACUUGGGGGCAUCUUAACACCAAGUCUCUGGACUCGGGCCUGCAUGUAGGAUGCCCGCCAAAAGACUUUGGCAAUAUCUGAAGCCCCUGGCGGGGGUGGAGGAUGUUUGCCAGUUGUAGGCCACUUAUGGUUUGGACUGACUCAUGAAUUUAGACUCGAUUCGGCUGGUUUGGCUUGGAACAUGAAACAUUUCUUUAAAAAAACCCCAAACUAAACAAAACAAAAACUGUUUUUAGAGGUGUUGGGUGUUGGCUGCAACUGAGGCCGGGGAUGGUGACAGGACUGUGCUAAUGCUCCUGCUGGGAUGACAGCCGCAGGCUCCUGGCUAGAGGGUCUUGUCCCUCUGCUCAGGGUCCCCGUGGGGAUGGUGGGACCUGCCGGGCGGGCACCAGUUCUCCGGCCCUGUAGGGUCCAGGGAGCUGCCCUCUAACUCGCUGCUCUCUGUGUGCGCAGAGCGUUCGUCGGAGGCUGAGGCAGAUACUGGGAAGACCCAAGCUGGGAGCAGCUUGGGGACACGUGGAGGAGACACCACCACCCCAGUGCACACACUGCCCCAUGCCUGGGCACAGGCUCAACCUCGAGCGCACACUGCAGCUGGUGGAGAGGAGGCUCAUGCACGUGACCUGGCACCUGAUGAGAGAUCUGAACUCGCCCAGACCUGCACGUCCUGCACCAUCCUGGAUCUCCGAGGAGCCCGAGGAAAUGGAGGACCCUGACGCUGCCUUCAUGCAA